UUUCCGUAGGUGAACCUGCGGAAGGAUCAUUAAUGAGUUGUCAUGGGGUUCGAUGCUGGCAGCCAAUUUUUGGAUGCAUGUGCUUGCCCUAACAAUCAUCUUCCAAACACCUGUGCACAUUUUUGAGGGAGUCUUGAGUUGGUUGCCGCUCUUGGGUGAUUUUCUCACAUUCCCUUAAAUCAUUAUACGCUAUUAACUAUGUUGAACGUGCUCUGUGCCGCAAGGCUAUUAAUAUAAUACAACUUUUAACAACGGAUCUCUUGGCUCUC
rnacentral:misc_RNA from 1 species